rnacentral:lncRNA from 1 species
AGUCCCGGGCUCAGACAGCACCUAGCAGAGCUGCUGGUGUCUUCACAGAACAUCUCCCGAGCGCAGCCCGAGGCUGCCCAAGGUGAGGCACCAAGACAGGGACUCCCACUUGGGCACAAAUUUGAGUCUUGCCUCCUGAUCUGAUCCUCCUGGAGAAGUGUCCCCUGAGAUCCUGGGCACUGUGCAGCCUCUUUCUAUGAUUCCAUCUGGAUUUGGCUGGCAGUGGGAACAAGCCCUGAGGGGCUGCUUGGGUCUUGGGGUGGUGGCAGCAGCCAGCUCGCCAGCCACCAUGGUGAAUGCCAGGAACUGAGGGGACGAGCUCUGCAGCCUCGUUGGGGACACUCAGGACGCGAUGGAGAACAAAGCCAUGUACCUGCACACUGUGAGCGACCGCGACUCCGGCUCCAUCUUUGAGGAGCCCUUUGAUGGCAGGAGCCUGUCCAAGCUGAACCUGUGUGAGGAUGGUGAGUGCCUCUGGCUGGGUCUUGGGCAUGAGAUUGACCCUGACCACCCCCCCCCCGCCCCAGCUAAUACUGCAUAGGUUGACUCUUUCAUGCUCAGAAAGGUCUAUUCUGUGUUUUCUCAUUCAUGUAUCUCAACACAUAUGUGACCAGCAAGAUGAGACCCACUUUAAAGAUGGGGCUACUGGGAGCUGAGAAAAGCUUUAAGGAUCACAUAGUCAGUCAUAGAGGGGCCCCAGCACUGAGCCUGUCAACUCCGGGGGCAGUCCUUUGGCCCCUCUGCCACCCUCUCCUCUGGGUGAGGCUGGGGUCAAGCUCAAGACCUCUGAACCAAGGAACCCAGACCCUCUUAGGUGAGGAGGCUCUAAUCCACUUCCCGAAGCGAUUGCAGAGAAGGAGCGUACCUCUCCGAGGUGCUUCUCCUUCCCCUGAGUCUGAGGCCCCAGGUCAUUGUGGCCCAGGAAGGGCCACAUCCUGGUGACCCAGAUGGCUCUGCAUCUUUGGGGGCUGGUUAUUUGCUAAAACUCUGGAGAGUCACUGAUGCAGCUCCCUCUGGAGGAGCUCAGAGCACUUUGCCAACAGCUGGCUCCCAGGUACCCAGCACAGAGCUCGACACUUAGUGGGUGCUUAAUAAAUGCUUGUUGCCUCAACAAAUACACUCCUUUUUGCAGUGAGUGUAGAAAAGAGAGCUUGAACCCCACUUCAGAGCUGAAUAGGACACUUACGGAAGAGUUUUUAAAGACCUAUAGUCAGUGAGAUGGAGACAGGCCGUCUUAGAGUUCUCCUGAGAAACAGACCCAGGAGGAUGUCUACACACAAAGAUUGCUUAUGAGGAAUUGACUUACAUGGUUAUGCAGGCUGAGAGGUACCACGACCUGCCAUCGGUGGAGACACAGGAAAGCCAGUGGUGUAGUUCAGUCGGAGUCAGAAGGCCUGGGAGCCAGUGGAGCCAGGGCUGUAAAUCACAGUCAGAGAAGAUGAGAGGAGGUGUCCCAGCUGCAGGAGGCAGGCAGAAAGCCAAAAGCAAAUUCCUCUGCCACUUUUCUACUCAGGCCCUCAACUGGUUAGAUGCAGCCCACCCACAUUUAAGGAGCCAUUGCUCUACUGAGAUCACCAAUUCAGAUGCCCAGCUCAUCAGGAAACACCCUCACAGACACACCCAGACAUGAUGUUUCACCUGGGUACCCAGUGGCCAACCAAGUUGACACCUAAAAUUAGCCAUCCCAGAUACCUUUAUUGAACGCUUUUCUCAAGCAUCCUUUUUCAUUGUGCUCCCUUCUGCCAAUUGCCUUUUCUUGAAAUUACUCAAAAUUAGAAAUGACCCCCCCUCUCAUCCAACCCCAUCUUUCCUCCCACGAGGUGCUGAGUGUGGGAAGGGAAUCCAGGUGGCUCAGAAAGGCAGGGACUGCAGAUUGUCUCAGCAGGGAGAGGAGACAGGAGAUUUGGGCUCCUCACCCUGCCCUAGUAAACUUCCCACUGUCAGAGCUCUUCCUUUGCAUUCCAAUCAACAAACACAUUUUGAGGACCCACGAUGUGUCAAGCUAUGGGUUAGGCACCAGAGAUCCUCCAAAGAGAAAUUAAACCAUCCUUACCCUCUAAGGGCUUCUGAUCCCCGUAGAAGGGACUGGUGUGGAGACAAUUACCCAUAAUGUAAAGGAGAUAAAAAUGUAUUUGAUUAUUAAAGUCAAGCAGGAGGAUGGAGUUCUCUUGGUGGCAUAGUAGAUUAAAGCUCCAGCAUUGUCACUGCUGUGGCUUGGGUUUGAUCCCUGGACCCUGGAAUGUCCAUGUGCCUUGGGUAUAGCCAAAAAAAAAAAAAAAAAAAAAAAAAAA